UACGUAGGCAGCAAGCGUUGUUCGGAGUUACUGGGCGUAAAGGGCGCGUAGGCGGCCAUUCAAGUGACGGGUGAAAGCCCUCGGCUUAACCGAGGAACUGCCUGUCAGACUGGAUGGCUUGAGACCGGGAGAGGUGAGUGGAAUUCCCAGUGUAGCGGUGAAAUGCGCAGAUAUCGGGAGGAACACCAAUGGCGAAGGCAGCUCGCUGGGACGGUACUGACGCUGAGACGCGAAAGCGUGGGGAGCAAACAGG
rnacentral:rRNA from 1 species